UUCUAUUUUCACCGACCAAGCAGGG
rnacentral:piRNA from 1 species